AACGAACGCUGGCGGCAGGCUUAACACAUGCAAGUCGAGCGCCCCGCAAGGGGAGCGGCAGACGGGUGAGUAACGCGUGGGAACGUACCCUUUGCUACGGAAUAGCUCCGGGAAACUGGAAUUAAUACCGUAUGUGCCCUACGGGGGAAAGAUUUAUCGGCAAAGGAUCGGCCCGCGUUGGAUUAGCUAGUUGGUGGGGUAAUGGCCUACCAAGGCGACGAUCCAUAGCUGGUCUGAGAGUAUGAUCAGCCACAUUGGGACUGAGACACGGCCCAAACUCCUACCGCGGGCAGCAGUGGGGUCUCUUGGACACUGGGCGCAAGCCUGCUCCAGCCACGCCGCGUGAGUGAUGAAGGCCCUAGGGUUGUAAAGCUCUUUCACCGGUGAAGAUAAUGGCGGUAACCGGGGAGGAAGCCCCGGCUAACUUCGUGCCAGCCGCCGCCGUAAUAC
rnacentral:rRNA from 1 species